rnacentral:rRNA from 1 species
UACAGAGGGGGCAAGCGUUGUUCGGAAUUACUGGGCGUAAAGGGCGCGUAGGUGGCCUUCUAAGUUGAACGUGAAAUCCCCAGGCUCAACCUGGGAACUGCGUCCGAUACUGGCAGGCUUGAAUCCGGGAGAGGGAUGUGGAAUUCCAGGUGUAGCGGUGAAAUGCGUAGAUAUCUGGAGGAACACCGGUGGCGAAGGCGGCAUCCUGGACCGGUAUUGACGCUGAGGCGCGAAAGCGUGGGGAGCAAACAGG